AUCAAUUCUUAAUGAUGAAACAUUUGAUUACAUUCAUUGAAUGAAAUUGUUCAUAAUUGAUAAUUUGAAGUUUUAAAGUGGUUGCGUGUUAUUGCGGGCUAAGAUUUGCAAUAGCACGGCCGUGUCAUGAUCCGAAUUCGGGGCGUGACAUUAAGUGGUAUCAGAGCAAUAAUUUUAACCAUGAUUAAAAACUUUAAGACUAAUCAUGGGAAUGGGUAGUUAAGUUAGCUUUCACAUAAUUGGAAUAACAAUAAUAAUAUUAAAAAAUAAGAAAAAAAGUAAUAAUAAAAUAAUAAUUUUGGGUUAUAUUGUCUUAGGUGACAAUGAGCAAUAAAAAGAAGAAAUGUAGGGCUAAUACAAGCCAUUCUAGAGACGUGAUUGUGACAGAAAAACUAUCAAAGCUUAGGUUAAGAUCGCAUAGGAUUGUGACAAAAUUAGAAUCAAAGAAUAAGUUUAAGAUCACUAGGGUUUGCAACCAAAAUGUAUCAUAGCUUAAGGUUAUGAUCACUUGGGACAUGACAAAAGUAGUAAAAUUACAUUCAGUGCUUAAGUGAAAGAUCACUAAGCAUUUUAAGUACCGGGUUUGGUAUUCGAUGAGUACGAAAGUACUGGAUAAGAUGUUUUUGAUCAUGAUGAGAGAUGUUUGACCUAAGAUAAGUGUAGGAAGGUUAACUAUGGCAUAGCAGUUAUACUAUGUUCGGAUAUUGUAUAAAUGACUCGAAAGUUUAAAAUUGAUAUAAAUUUGGAUGUGAUUAUUAGAGUGUGAUUUGUACAUGGAUUGGUCAUAGAAUUGGAAUGAGUCAAGAAGGAUUUUAUUUUAUAUAGUAUUAUAAAGGAUUGUUCUUCAAGGUUAAAUCCGUAUGUGGAUUAUAAUUGGUAUUGGCAUACUUGGAUAUUGCAAAUAGUUGUAUUCUAUUGGUGGAUUAAAUUCUUAAGUGCAUAUUGAUUGGGGAAUUCUAGUUAUUUGAAUGCCCAUGUUUGGAUUGGGAUAUUAGCUCUUUUUCAUAAUUAUUGGACAUUAUUGGGUGUGUUAGUUAACCUCAAGUCUAGGUUCAUGAUUUGACAA
rnacentral:lncRNA from 1 species